UGUAAAAGCUAGUGUCUCGUGAGAAUACCCUUAACGAGAGUACACGAGACUUUCAUGGACUGCGAGGGAGCAGAUGUCUCUCAUGAAGCGAUUUUAAGCUAAAGGUUUACUAAAAGAAAAAGCAACACAAGGACUUAAGGACCUCUUUUCAGGACAAGCAGCCAACGAGUUCUCACGGCGUAUUGGCGUAUCGGCGUACUGGUGAUGAACAAACAAGGAUAAAGAGUUUUCCCCCGAUGGAGCCAGGUGGAUGUCGAUUUCCUCUCACGCUAAUCACACUUUGGAAAGCGACACGAGAGUUAGCACAGAUGAGUGACAACUCCCCCGCCGUCCUAGACAUACGGGUGGGAGGGGACCAGUUUACACCCAGCACCCAGGAGAUCAGUCAGCUCUCCCAGCGGGAGCCCCGCUGAGCGUCUCCCAGAUUUGGUGAGACAGGGAGGCUUUCACGGCGACUGUGAGAGGAAAUUCCGAGGCUUGUUUCACAAUAGGAAAUAGGACGAAGUUUACUUCAGGGGAUGGAGCUCAGAAAAACCCACCUACACUCACUUUGCUAAUCUCCUAAGGCUGAUGUGAAUCUUAACCAUGUGAAAUUCUCAGUUUGCAUUAAAGUCAGUGGCAUUAAAUAAGUUUGUGAAGACAGGAUGUUUCAAGGGCGGUCUGUAUAUGUUCCUUUUUACUGUGAUAUAUGAUGAUCAGAAACUGGAGUUCUAAAGUUUAGCCUUAUUGCUGUUUUACUUGCACUGUUAAAGCUACAGUCAUGGUGUGCAUACGGCAAGCCAACCUGUCUGCUCAGUUACCACAGUAGAUUUUUACAGAGGAGAAACUUGGACUGCCAAGGACUUAAAUUCACAAGAAUAACAUUGAGAAUCUGCAGCAUGUUUAAAAAAAAAAUACCACUCACAGUUUUAACAAGCUUCAUGUUAGGAAGCACUCUGUACAAAAGCAAUCUACCAUUUUCUUUAACAACUUUCAUUGCUUUGUGGUAGGUGUUUGUUAGUACCUGCAAUCUUGGAUCCAUCAUAGAGGAAUCCCAGAGCGUGCAAUAAUGCUGCUUUCCUCCUCACAAAGUCUAAUCGUCCUAUCCGACCAGUGUAACAGCUUUUUAUCACCAGACUUUUUAUCAUGUUGGUAUACUAAUUUUAAAGAAAAUCUGCUUUUGUUUCUUGUUUUACUCUUCAGGCGUCUGUUGCCUGCCCUCCCCUGAGUGCCUUGAUAAAGUGACUUUCUUGUAUUCAGUAAAAGCCUUUGUUGGGUCUUCACUGGUGAACUUUUGCUUUGUGUUCUGUUGCUAUCAUUAGAGGUUUGCAUCAUAACCACCAUUGGCUAUCACCUGUGUGGACAAAAAUGAUUAUAAAAACACACAAUUACCGUUGAUAUUCACUCAGCGUUGGGCAGUAUGGGUUUGCCACAGCAGAUACUUGAUCCUGUGCUCUAUAUUCUCCUUUACAUUUUCAUACUCGUUAUCAUCAUGGGACCCUUGAACGUCCUACUGAAUGUCUGACUAAUGAAAUUUCUUCUUUAUGGCAGGGUUAGGCAGAAUCCAUUAGAGGAUUUACUGACUGACACCCAAACACUGCUGAAUCAAAUCCUAAUCCCAUAUUGGUCUAAGCCUUGGUAAUAUUCUUUUCAUAUAGCUCCCUUCAUAUUUCUUCCACUCUCGAGUCUCAGAUAUAUGUCACAGUUCUUAACAGAGAAGAAGCAUGCUGUAAAAACUGUCACUUUAUCAAAUCAUCCAAACCUCAACAGAUGGAUUUACUUGAUUAAUUAUGCAGCAUCCAAAUAGCCCUCUGAUGAAGUUAUUCCUGUUAUAUGCAUCAUAAGUACUCUGAGUCUGAUUUUAAUACAAGUAAAUAUUCAUGUUUAUAUUCGACAGCAAAACAACUACUUUCACGAUUCGGAAAUACGGAAACGUUUCAGACAACAAACCAAGUAAGAUAUAGUGAUCGAAAUGCUAUUACAAACUACUAUAUAUUAGAGACAGGAGAAAGAAACCACAAAACAAAAAGAAAGUAAAAAGAAGAAGUAGGUUUGUCUACAAAGGUGCUAAUUUGUUGAUUGCACAUUUUGAAUGAAGAACGUUUCUAAACUCUGCCUCUUGGCAGUAAUCAGGAAAACUUGUGAAAGUUAUGACAGAGUUGCCCAGAGAGUAAAAGAAAGAAGAGAUGGCGACCCUGGCCUGACUUUAUGUAUCAGUGCAACUUUAAAUUAUAUUGACAUAAAGUGUAAUGUCUCAUCCUACAUAAAGUGUGAAAAUAUGUCUAUAUACCUUAAAAACUCUUUAUACUGCUCAGCACUCCCUUUUACCAAUAUAUCUCAUUACUCUGUGAUCCCACUGAGGGCAAUCUGGGGGUAGUUUGUGAUAGAGAGAUGUCUACUCCCACUUCCUAGAAUGCUUUUCACCACUGCUUUUUAAGCUUGUUGCCUAUAGUCUUACGGGGGUUUGUUAGCAAAUAAAUGCAGUAUAUCAUUUCUCAUGAGCCAAGCUGUCUGUGAACACUGGGGUGUGUCUGCAGUCUGGCUGGUGCUCAAAAUGACAAUUGCCUUAUGGUUGCAUUGCUUUCUAGUUCAGCGAGGUUACUGUCGGAGGUAAAGGUAUCUACCAUUAAGGAAUAUUAUUGUUUGUAUUUAUUUUUUUGGUAUGACUGUUUAACAUUGGUCCAAAAUGGUAAAGCUAAUUAGGGCUGACUGCUAAAAUGUGACAUGCAAAUAGCUGCUAACAACAUUUUUUAAUGAUGGGAUGGGAAUAAUCUAUUAAAAAAAAAGUCUUGUCCUUGGUUGUAACACAAAACACAUUGGAGAUAUACAUGGUCCUCCCUGAGCAUCUCUUGCUCAAGGGCAUUGUCAGCUUUAUCAGAGCCUAGUGAUUCAUCAGGCUAGUUGGUAAAUAAGAGAUGUUAUCAGGUGCUCCUUGUGGCAUUGAGGGCUCAUGUCCUAAUCAAUAACAUUCCAAUUCUUCACUGAUCUCCUCCUCUGAUUAGCCGAACUAAUCCAAUACACAAUGUUGCUGUCUAUUACUGAGGCAGGACAAAGCCUUCCCGUUCAGACUGCCCUUAUCUGUGCUUUUGCGUUUACUACUGAUAUAAGGUGGGUAUAAGCCAAGGGCUACUGCGAGGACAUCCUCAGGCUCUCCUAAUUGUUAAUCCACUUGGGCCAGCAGGUAGAAAGGAAAUCUCACUUGGCCUGGCAGCACCACGGGCAGUUAAGUGAGAUGACUGUAGUGAGAGCUAACCAAUCGCCACCCAGAGACAUAGUAAGUCAAGAUAAAAUGGCCUGUAAUUUUUCUAACUCCCUUAAAAGGAAAUGGAAGAUAGCAAAGUGCCAUGGAUAAUGAAAGAGGUUGGAAAAAGGAGGGGCGGUUUGGACUGUCAGUCAGUAAAGAGUGGCGAUGGCAGCAGGCACUUACUGACGUGGGGAUGCUGAUGAACAAGCCGAGCCUAAUUUGAGUUAAUGAAUAUGAAAUAUGCAUCAGUUUUCACUCUCAAAAUGAUAUGCAGUAAGCAUAACUGAUGAAAGAGGAAAUGAACAGCAUUAACUAGUCAGACUUUAAAGCAUCUAAAGAGAACAUAAUACAUACAGUAUUAGCCUAUAGACCUCUGAAUUACAAAGUCCACACUCUAGGUGUGUGUGCGUGUGUAUGUCUAUCUAUCUAUCUGUCUAUCUGUUUUUUUUUUCUCACGUACUUAGUCUCAGAUAUAUUGAUAGAAUACAAGGCAUGAAAGACAGUUGUAAAAAUUAGACAGCUGCUCCAACUUAUCUAGCCCUUAACAGAUGGAUUCACUUGACUAAUUAUGUGUUCAAACAAUCCUCUGAUGAAGUGACUGAUAUCAAACACAACAUAAAUACUCUGAAUGUAAUUUUAAUGGAAACAGAAGUCUGUGAUUUUAUUAACAGUAAAGACGGUGUCUUGAAACCUAAACAUAUACCAUCAGAAUAGCUGUAGUUACAUAAAACCCAUGGAGGUUUUAAAUUAUUCAUAGAUUUCCUGGAGGUACAUGAAGGUCAUUGGAAAAGACCUCACUGAGUCCUAAAUUCCUGUUAUGAGUUCCUUCUAACCACCCAUUUCUAUUAUUGAGGAGAUAAGUCUUUUUAAAUAGUACCAUACUGUCCAGUAAUUUAAGGUUCACAUAGGCAAGAUCUACAAGUUCGAGGCUUCCAGUGUUGAUUUUCUCCUAAAAAUUUAGGCUACGUCC